AAUGUUACGGUCUUCUUUCGCCGUGGUCUUCUGAGGACGUCCGGUUGACUUGCGCGUUUCGGUUGUCCAAGCGCGUUUCGGUUGUCCGAGCACGUUUCGGUUGUCCGAAGCGCGUUUGCCACAAAAGUACGCGAUCGUUCCAUCACGAACUCGGUCGUUCUGAGCUUAAUGCCAGCUGCCGCCAUUCGCUUACUGAUAUGGCGUUGAUGAUCAGUACAACGAUUAUCUCGACCCAUUGUUACUAACAUUGCUUGCUUGGACUGUCAAGAACGCGCUGGUUAAAAAGUUGGACACGGCUGAUCCCGUGCUCAGCCUCUGUUCUGCUUCUACACGUGAUGAAUUACAUCGUUGUAGAGCAGCAAAAACAGCGUAUGGAUAAAAACUAUCAAUGAGUAAGCGAGUGAGUGUCUACCCAUUUAAAUCGAGAACAGAAUACUGCCGUGCUCAUGAAACAAAACGCCCAUUGAAAAGAACAACUGCGCUCCAGCUCAAUGCACGCACAAAGCAUUCCAUGCGCACACAACGUUCAACGCAGAGAUGCAUGCAGGCCUUUCAAUGGCGUGCUCUGGAGAAACACCUGUGAGGGAAUGCCGAGUUCAUUGCUAUUGUGCGCGUGUCCAUUUCGCACCGGUGUCGCAUUCACAUUCAUGAAACAGCACACCUGCGUUCUCGUCCGAGGAACAAGCGUCGAUGCAAACUUUGGCUUUUAUCCAAGUGCAAACGCACGCUGUUUCACAUGAUAACACAUAUAAUCAGAAUGCUUUCAACGCAAUAUGAAACCAUUUCAAGCUACGUUUCUUCAGAAAAAACCCGCACACACACACACACACACACACACACACACACACACACACACACACACACACACACACACACACACACACACACACACACAUACACAAGUAACGUGGUAAAACAAGUGCACGGUGCGUUGAAAAAACCAGGGUCCUAUCUUAAUGUCCGAAACUGUAUCUUGACGCUGUUCGUUUGUUACGUCUUCUAUCACAGUAGCUGUUAGAAAACGAAGCGGAAAAUAAUUUAGUGCCGAACACGUUAAAGGUUUUUGUGAUACUUUAGCUGUUGCCAAAAAAUAAGUCUUUUUAUUCCGCCAGUUGGUUUGUAGAUAUCGCGAUGGCUAAUCUUCCGAGUCUUUUUAUCCUAUUUCCCUACAACUAUUCUCUCUUUUUCCCAUCUCUUUUCCUCUCUCACCAAUUCCUGACGCAUAUGUCGACAGGUCAUUGGAACCAUCCUAUUUUGCUGUUGUAAGGUUCCAACAGUAGCAAUAAUUACAAAGUGACCUUUAUUAUCAAAAUGAUGUUUGUACACAUUUUGAAACGAUUGCAAUAAAGAUUGUGGGACAAGUAUAGCAGUUUGUUUUCCAUUAUGGUAUCUUUUAAGCAGUUCCUAGAUAUCGUUUUCAGUAUACUCUGGCUUUUGUAUUGUAACUCUAUUAUAGUUUAAAAAUGGAGUUCCUAGUUUUUCUAUCGGUUGCUGUCCUAUUUCAAAUACCAUUUGAUUUCUAUAAAAUUUUAUUGGUCUAUCGCUAUAACGCAUGAAAUAGUCAGGAGAUGUUUGAGCGGAGUGUAUGGUACCUACGUCAGAAUAGCUGCUUAAGCUACUAGCAGGAUUUGUUAUAAUUGAGUGAUCUGUAUUUGUGUUAACUUGUAUUUCAUCGUUCGAUUUCCUACUCAGGGCGUCAGCAACUACAUUGGCUUUGCCCUCCUUGAACUUGAUAUCAUACUCGUAAUUUUCUAACUCUAAACGCCAGCGCAAAUUUUCGAAUUUUUGCUUGAAGAUUUUAAAAAUAUGAGCGGUUUGUGAUCUGUAACGAGUGUACAUUUUCUACCAUACAAAUAAAGCUUGGAUUUUUCUACUGCCCACACAAUCGCCAACGCUUCUUUCUCUGUAGUGGAAUAUUGUAAUUCAGUAUCAUUCAUCGUUCUGCUACCAACCCAACCGACAUAAUCGCGCGACAUUUAACAAUUUUGUAUGAGAAAAAACGGGCUCAAAACGUUCUCAAAUCGUGCUCAUUAGCAGCACUAAAGAGCACGUUUCUGCAACGGUGCGCAGCGUGUAUCAUACAUGUAGUUUCUGUAUGCUACAUUACAGGGUUUCGAAUCAUAUAAGGGAAUAGUUCAACCACUUAGGGGAAUGUUGCAAAUCGGUAGGGGAAUGUUGCAAGCAAGCUGUGGAUGUUUGCAAUCACUUAGGGGAGUUGUGCAAUCGAUUAGGGGAAUGUUGCAAGCGUACUGUGGAGCUGUCAUCAGACUGUGGGUGCCGGUGUAAAAAGCUACGAAUUGAUACCGAUGAUGUUUUUUUUAAAAACAUCGUUUGGAGUUGUUUUCGUGUGGGAUUCUGCUGUACACAUGAUAAACUAAAUACAUCCUGCUGCGGAGCCAUAAUUAAACAUGAUAAGUUAGUAAGAUUUACGAAAAUAUUUUAAGAUAUUUACAGCGGCACCCACAGUCUGAUGACAGCUCCACAGUACGCUGUUGCCCGCUUGGCAAAGAGUAACUCAUUUUGAUGCCUCUCGCUACCCCUGGCCCUAGUUUUGAAGGAAUCAUGCGACACACUCGCACUCCACUACCCCAUCCCAUGGAAAAACGCUCCCACCAUCGAGGUGUUGACCAAAAUUUCGCUGUGUGCAUGAGACACACACUCGCACUCCUCCAGCCCUCCACUGCUGAACGCUCCCACCGUUGCGAAGAUGCGAGAAUUUUUGCUCUGAGCGUGAGACCCUGAAGCGCCAGAGAUGACACAAUGUGUAAAGACGAUCAUAAUUCGAUAUGGUCAAAAUGCGUCGAUUGUCGUUUCAUUUAUCUGGUAAUGAUGUUUUCACUUCAUCAAAAUUUUAAACAUUAACAACUAGGCUGAUAACAAUAGUUGAAAUGUAAAUCAGAAUAAAAUCAAUUCAUUUGAAGUAAAAUGAAUUCCAUUAUACUCUAUUUUGACCAAAUGAUCAACUCUUGUACAUAGUGCCAUUUACUUUGUGUUCUUCACUCUCGCGCUGUGUUGUGAUCGUUCGAAACUCAUUGCCAGAACGAAUGCAAAUUUCAUUUGGGAAGGAUCGGUGCCGGAAGAUGCAGUGAAAAUUAUAAAAUGUUUAUAGAAAAGUGGUUAAGUAAAUCGUGAAAGAUGUAAACGCAGGCGUAACUGCAGUUUGUUUUGUUACAUGAUCUACGGCUAUUUCAUUACCAAAGCACCUGAUAACCGAUCAAAGAAGGUGAAUCGGGCUUACAGAGUCGCCGUUUAAUUUAAAAUAUCUGCGUGAUCGGAAAACGCAUCAAACAACAAGUGUUUUUCUUCCAACAGCACGCGCCAUCGGUGGAGCAAGCUGCAAACGUUUCGUUCGCCCAGCACGCACCAUCAAGUAUUAUAAUAUUCCCGAAUAGCUCUGUGAAUAAAAAACUGCACACUUACUGUCCGAAUUUCCUGGAAUUUUUUGAUCGGUCUACGCUCGUGGGAAUGGUGGGUCCGUUGAGGAGAAGGAAAGAAAGGGUGGGAGCGAGGAUUAACCAAAAACGCGGCAUUGAGAAUGAGGGGAGGUGCGCUCAGCGCUCACGCUGGGACACUCACGAUGCUUGAAAUAAAAUGUUAACAAGCAUCGAUUUCAAGCAUGCAUGUCGCGCGACAUUUUGCCAAGCGGGUAACAAGCAUCGAUUUCAAGCAUGCAUGUCGCGCGACAUUUUGCCAAGCGGGAACCCAACCGACAUUGUCACGUUGCAAGCGGUUUUUUUUGUAUAGAAAAAGUGUUCUCUAUAGCGCGGUCAAAUCGUUCUCGAUAGCAGAACUACCCAACCAGCAUUAUCGCGCGAUUUUUAUGUGUAUCUAUCAUUUUUCUCAUUCUAACAUUCACAAAAUUUUUCAUUCUGCCUCGGUCUUCUGGGUGUUGGUCUGUAUUUGCUUGCGACUUGGCUGUGUCGCAUCAACGAUUCGCAUGUUUCAUUUAGCUCAUCCCUUUCCAUCGUUGGAGAGAAACUCUUGCGUCUCGCUUUUCUGGGACUUGUCCAAAUUCGCUUGCUACACCAAUCGUUCACGCAAGCGUACUCCUCUCGCCCGCUCUUUGUAUCAUUGUACAGGUACUCCCCGAUAUACGCUAUCAAUGCGUACCGGAGGCAAUAGCGUAUCUCGAAUAUUCAAUAGCGAAAGUCGAAUUUCGAGGUUUUCAGUCAAAUUAUAACUAAUAUCCGUAUAACUUUGCAUGAAGUGGUAGGUUUUAGCCACUAAAUUAGUUAUUUGAUCUAAUUUCAACUGAAUUUUUCAAUUUUAUACCAUUUGAAAUGGUUUUUAUUAUUCAACCAAAAGGGAAUUUAUUUUGCAUUUGACAUUCGAUUUCUAAAAUUAGUACUACUUGUUCAAAGAACCGUCAAAUUUAGAAAAAAAAGCGUAUAGCCAAAUCGUGUAUAUCGAGUAUGGCGUAUAUCGGGGAAUACCUGUAUAGCCACACGAGGAAGGCGCUGCUUCGCGUUCACAUGAAAAUGUGGUAGUGUGAAAUCAAGUUUGCAAGCGGUAGGACGCGUCGGUGUGUGUCCGUUUUUUCUCUCGUGAAACCAGUACGGAAAAACUAUUUGAAAUCGUAACACGCGCACGAACGGAAGUGAGCACGGACCACAACAGAAGCAAUAUUCAAUUGGUUGGAGUGCCGAAAACAGAACAGGAGAGGAAAGAAGGCAGGAACGAUCCGAUCCUCCAACGUGCUAGCGCCUGGUAGAGGAGAAGCGGCAGGAAGGUAGAGACGAACAUCCAGCUCGCUUGUGUAGCACGUGGGAGCAGCAAGAGGGAAGCAAGCAGGACGCGUACACACCAUUCGACGAAGGCAAAGCUGGAGGAAAGGAAGAACGAGGAGAGAAGGCAGGCAAGACGGGUACGUAUGUAUCCCGCACCGGUUUUAGACAGUGUGAAUUGUGUGAGUAUGUAAAUAUGUAUGUGCGAGUAAGAAGGUAAAAUAAAGAGCGUAAGCAUGUGCAGAAUGGACAAAAGAGAGUAAGAGUCUUUGUAGGGAGAAUGGAGAGAAUGAAAGAAAUUGAGAAGGGAUGUAGCAUACAUAAACCAAAUGUAUGAUACACGCUGUCGCACGAUUUCAAAAACCUUCUCUAUAGUUCUGCUAUCGAGAACGAUUUGACGGCGCUAUAGAGAACACUUUUUCUAUACAAAAAAAACCGCUUGCAACGUGACAAUGUUGGUUGGGUAUAGAGAAGGUU